rnacentral:rRNA from 1 species
AGUGAACGCUGGCGGUAGGCCUAACACAUGCAAGUCGAACGGCAGCACAGGAGAGCUUGCUCUCUGGGUGGCGAGUGGCGGACGGGUGAGGAAUACAUCGGAAUCUACUCUGUCGUGGGGGAUAAGGUAGGGCAACUUACGCUAAUACCGCAUACGACCUACGGGUGAAAGCAGGGGAACUUCGGGCCUUGCGCGAUUGAAUGAGCCGAUGUCGGAUUAGCUAGUUGGCGGGGUAAAGGCACACCAAGGCGACGAUCCGUAGCUGGUCUGAGAGGAUGAUCAGCCACACUGGAACUGAGACACGGUCCAGACUCCUACGGGAGGCAGCAGUGGGGAAUAUUGGACAAUGGGCGCAAGCCUGAUCCAGCCAUACCGCGUGGGUGAAGAAGGCCUUCGGGUUGUAAAGCCCUUUUGUUGGGAAAGAAAUCCAGCUGGCUAAUACCCGGUUGGGAUGACGGUACCCAAAGAGUAAGCACCGGCUAACUUCGUGCCAGCAGCCGCCGUAA